UAAGGAAUAUUGGUCAAUGGAGGCAACUCUGAACCAGCCAUGCCGCGUGAGUGAAGAAGGCCUUCGGGUUGUAAAGCUCUUUCGGCCGGGAAGAAAUCGCACGGGCUAAUACCCUGUGUGGAUGACGGUACCGGAAUAAGAAGCACCGGCUAACUACGUGCCAGCAGCCGCGGUAAUACGUAGGGUGCGAGCGUUAAUCGGAAUUACUGGGCGUAAAGCGUGCGCAGGCGGUUUAGUGAGACAGGCGUGAAAUCCCCGGGCUCAACCUGGGAACUGCGCUUGUGACUGCUAAGCUAGAGUACGGCAGAGGGGGGUGGAAUUCCACGUGUAGCAGUGAAAUGCGUAGAUAUGCGGAGGAACACCGAUGGCGAAGGCAAUCCCCUGGACCUGUACUGACGCUCAUGCACGAAAGCGUGGGGAGCAAACA
rnacentral:rRNA from 1 species